rnacentral:rRNA from 1 species
UACGAAGGGGGCUAGCGUUGUUCGGAUUUACUGGGCGUAAAGCGCACGUAGGCGGAUCGUUAAGUCGGGGGUGAAAUCCUGGAGCUCAACUCCAGAACUGCCUUCGAUACUGGCGAUCUUGAGUCCGGAAGAGGUGAGUGGAACUCCUAGUGUAGAGGUGGAAUUCGUAGAUAUUAGGAAGAACACCGGUGGCGAAGGCGGCGACCUGGUCCUUGACUGACGCUGAGGCGACGAAGCGUGGGGAGCAAACAGG